GAUGAACGCUGGCGGCGUGCCUAAUACAUGCAAGUCGAGCGAACGGACGAGAUUCUUGCUUCUCUGAUGUUAGAGGCGGACGGGUGAGUAACACGUGGAUAACCUAUCUAUAAGACUGGGAUAACUUAGGGAAACCGGAGCUAAUACCGGAUAAUAUUUUGAACCGCAUGGUUCAACAGUGAAUGACGGACUUGCUUUUACUUAUAGAUGGAUCCGCGCUGCAUUAGCUAGUUGGUAAGGUAACGGCUUACUAAGGCAACGAUGGAUAGCCGACCUGAGAGGGUGAUCGGCCACACUGGAACUGAGACACGGUCCAGACUCCGACGGGAGGCAGCAGUAGGGAAUCUUCCGCAAUGGGCGAAAGCCUGACGGAGCAACGCCGCGUGAGUGAUGAAGGUCUUCGGAUCGUAAAACUCUGUUAUUUGGGAAGAACAUAUGUGUAAGUAACUGUGCGCAUCUUGACGGUACCUAAAGAGAAAGCAACGGCUAACUACGUG
rnacentral:rRNA from 1 species